GAAUUCAACUCCUACGGGAGGCAGCAGUGGGGAAUCUUGCGCAAUGGGCGAAAGCCUGACGCAGCCAUGCCGCGUGUAUGAUGAAGGUCUUAGGAUUGUAAAAUACUUUCACCGGUGAAGAUAAUGACUGUAGCCGGAGAAGAAGCCCCGGCUAACUUCGUGCCAGCAGCCGCGGUAAUACGAAGGGGGCUAGCGUUGCUCGGAAUUACUGGGCGUAAAGGGAGCGUAGGCGGACAUUUAAGUCAGAGGUGAAAUCCCGGAGCUUAACUUCGGAACUGCCUUUGAUACUGGGUGUCUUGAGUGUGAGAGAGGUAUGUGGAACUCCGAGUGUAGAGGUGAAAUUCGUAGAUAUUCGGAAGAACACCAGUGGCGAAGGCGACAUACUGGCUCAUUACUGACGCUGAGGCUCGAAAGCGUGGGGAGCAAACAGGAUUAGAAACCCUAGUAGUCCAGGCGUU
rnacentral:rRNA from 1 species